rnacentral:rRNA from 1 species
UGCGUAGGUGGUCUUGUAAGUCAGAAGUGAAAGGCUACGGCUUAACCGUAGUAAGCUUUUGAAACUGCAGGACUUGAGUGCAGGAGAGGAAAGUGGAACUCCUAGUGUAGCGGUGAAAUGCGUAGAUAUUAGGAGGAACACCAGUGGCGAAGGCGACUUUCUGGACUGUUACUGACACUGAGGCACGAAAGCGUGGGGAGCGAACA